rnacentral:rRNA from 1 species
UAGUCGAUACGAGCGCACCCACGGUCGUCAGUUACAUGUGUCUGGCGAGACUGCCGGUGAUAAGCCGGAGGAAGGUGUGGAUGACGUCAAGUCAGCAUGGCCUUUAUGGUCCGGGCUACACACACGCUACAAUGGCCGAUACAAUGGGUAGCGAAGCCGCGAGGUGAAGCCAAUCUCGCAAAGUCGGUCUCAGUUCGGAUUGCAGGCUGCAACUCGCCUGCAUGAAGUCGGAGUUGCUAGUAACCGCACGUCAGCACAGUGCGGUGAAUACGUUCCCGGGUCUUGNACACACCGCCCGU